GCGCCGGCCGGCUGCGUGCUGCCGGGAUCCCUCCGCCCGGGGCUGCCCUUUAAAUGUGAGGCGUCCCGUUGCAGGGCUGUUGGUCCCGGCGCGUUAAGGGCAGAGCGGUGCGGUGGCCCCCCCGCCUGCGGUCCUCAGCCUGUUCAGUGCAUGCAUGGAGUGGGCGGACACUGCAUAGCAUGGGACCAGGAGAUGCCAUCUCUGGUCCCAGUGGCACGAAGGGAUCACUGCAGCCCGGCGGUGCAUGGAGCCUUAAGCACCCGAUGCUGCGCCCCCGGGAGGAGCCAUGAGGUAGGUGUGCCACUGCCAUCGACGUGUGAUUGCUUCCAACUGGGGUCACAGAUCAGUUUGUACCGAUGGUUACAAACUUGAAGUUAAACAUCACAAGUGCAUGUGAAAACGAAUAAAAUUAAAGACCAUUUUCUAUCAAAAUCUUCAUAAUUUAUUAAAAAAUACACAUUUUCUCAGUAACAGAUGGUCAAUAAUAGAUGAUAGAUGGCCUCCUCUGUGUAAAUUAAUGGCUGUAAUUCACUUGAGGGCUGCUGCUGAUGUCAUAAGCUGCCAGAGUGCAGCUUGAGUGAUUUAUUAACAGCUGCAGAAAUCCUAGAGUGAAUUACAUCCUUGUAUUCACUUAGGGUCUGCAGAUUGUUAUUUAUAAGACUUGGAGGUUUGUGUUUCUUCUAUAUUAUAGGAAUCUUUUAUAUGAUUGUAAUAUAUGGACAUGGUGCAGGACUGACCAGUGUGGAAGUUCAGCUCCCCGUCUGCAGCAAAGGCAGUCAGAUUUUCUCUACUAACACUUAUCAGCAUCAACCCUUUAUUUUUAAAAGAAGCUAAUCAAUAUCAGCAGAUGUUCAUUUAAAUCCUGCUUUGUGGGCUUUUUUUCCCCCCAAAUGUCAAAUACAAAUAAUGUCAGUAUCUUCUUUCCCAGGAACACCCGUGUUCACUCAGUGUUUGCAGUCACUGCCCCUCUUCACAUUGAGCUAUGUCCAAAACAAAAAGAUAGUUGAGAGGUUGAUGCUAGAGAGGAGUAAGUGCAAUUUCUAUUAAUAUCUUUGUGUAGGAAGGAGGCAACAGAUUCAGAAGGCUAGAAAAGGUGCCUGGAAGCCAGAAUCUCUCACAUACAAGGAAGAGAUUGUCCCAUCUCCUAAUGCUACCUCUACGUAGGGAGAAAACCGUACCUUUCUUCCAUAAAAUUCCUGCUCAGUAAAAGAGAAUGUUUUCUCUGUGGCAGGCCUCAGAAUAUGCUCAUCUUACACAUCAGCCCACCUUAACAUUCUCUCUACAGUGAUCCAUGCUUCCCAGAUUUAUCUCAUCCUUCUAAAACGUGAACAUGUGAAAGCAAAUUAAAUAAUAUUCAUUUCUGUAACCUUCCCAUCCUCCUGAAAAGUGGGAAUAGGUGUUACAAAAUCCUGUUUCUCAAACAAGGGAUAUAUUUCCAACAAGUUAUGUAAGUCCUAGAGGAAGAGUGAAGGGGAAACGAGAAUAAAUAAUGAAGAGUUGCAUGGCAGGAAGGAACAGUCAGAAUUCAUUUGCAAAUGACUAUUAUUUUUUUGCUGAAGAUGUAAAAUUUCUCAACAGAAUUUCACAGUGAGUGUUUGGAUGCUAGCUAGAUUCCAGUGAGAAUACUUCCAGCUUUGUCUCUUAGUUUUAUUUGUCUGUGGUUAGAUCUUGCUGGUCAUUACGAGAAGCUGCAUUUAUUGUCAGCAAGAAAUACUGCUUUGCUACCAAACAACUGCUGUUUUACUUCUGCUUUCAUUCACCAGCAUCUGUCUAUAUGACUGACCUGUCUCUAAGAGGCACAAAUUACGAUUUUUUUUUUUCACAGAAAACAAUUUGAAUAAAAACAGGCUCUAGAAAUUGUUCAGUGCCUUGAGGCAGAGUCCUUUGAAGUCAUUAUGAGUUCACUAAUUUCAGCAAGCCUAUUAUUGCUAUUAUAGCGUCAUGGACAAAGCCCAGUCACUUCGAGAUCCCACUAUGUUAGAUAUUGCAUGAAUGUACAGAAUGGUAUCAAGAAACAGGAAAAAUGUCUUUUUUUCUGCUUUCUGGAGUGGAAUGCUGCCUUCCUGAUUCUUUUGAAAUUGCCUACAGAUUUGUAGUAGCCAAAAUUUGUAUAUCCAAAAGCUUGACUCUUCUUUCUUAGUUUUUAAAUGUUUAGGAGCUACACAUGGGACAGAUGACCAACUGGACCAUAGCCUGUCUGUGAUUUGCAACUUCCAGGUAAUUUCUGAAACAGGCUCCUCUACUUCCUCUCAAAUUGAAUCUGAAUCAGUUUAUUUCCUUUUUCUCUUCAAAUUGAGGUUAGUUUGUUUGUUGAUUUGUUUUUGUUUGUUUGUUUUGUUUUACGUGUUCUGCAUGUCUGCUUGUUAACUUUGGACUCAGUUUAUACGGAGGAUGCGGUGCAAAAAUCUAAGAGCUUGUCAGGUAACAAACUUAAGUUGCACUGAUGUGUCAUUUUCAUGCUUUAUGGUGACAAGUUUUAUUGUCUCCCUGUAGCUCCAUUGUCAUUCAGAGAUUCAUUAUAUUGUCACAGAUUUUCCAUUUUCUUUCAUCAUAUGGAGAAGGAAAGCCAUUAGUUCGGUACUGUUGCAGUACUCAGCACCUUUCUGUAGUCUCCCUUUUAUAGUUGGGCUUUUCCUCCUUGUCCAGAAUGGCAAAUCACUUGAAGAUUGUGGAGUCCCAGGUAAUGAUGUACAUUAUUUCUCCCUGUCUCUGCCUUAUUUCUGUAAGUUCUGAGACAAUUUGUUCCACAAACAGCGGCAAGCAGCCUAAUGCUCUCAGUCCCUCAAUUCCUAUAAAUGACAAAAUGAAGGCAGUUGUCACAUGAAUGGCUACCAAGAGAAACAAUGUGCUAUUUACUAUUUAUAGAUUCAUGGUAAAUAGCAGUGGAGCAGGUUUGGCUAUGCAGUCUCUUUGAAUCAAGCAGACUGCACAUGUAGUAAGGGGGGGAUGGGGGUGGAGUUUCGUGUAUGCAUUACAGAAUUCUAAAGCCAAAAAUUAUGCUAUCUGCAGUUCUGUCACUGAACAGUCUCCAGCUGUGUGAACAGCAAAGGCAAGCUUAGUGUCAAGUGGGUGAAUGCGAACAAACACUCUUUCACCUUGCAAGCUUUGUUACUGUUAAAGAUGGUGUUUUGUUUGUUUGUUUCUUUUAUAUAUAUAUGUACAUCAGGUAUAGCAUCCUGGAAAAUUUCUGGUGGGUACUGCUCAGAAUGCAAUAGAGCAUGCUGCUUGAGGUGUUAUUUGUCUGUGUAUAUUGCUUGAAAGAUCUAUCUCACACUUGAAAAGUGUUUUUAAAAUGAUCCAAAGGGUAUCCUGCUUAUUUCACGCUUUUGUUUGUGAUUUUUGAGGCACUGACUGUGUUCUGCUCAUUAUCUGACCAUAUAAUCUAAUAGUAAUUAUUUUCUGGUCACAGCUUUUGGUUGUAUUGGAGAGAGAUGCUGAUAUUCAGCUUUUUCCUUCUCAUACCAGUCAGGUGAGCCUUUGGUUUUCUCCUGAUGGGGGACAGGUCUCAGGUGCACUUUUGUAAUCCAUGGGAUGCUCACUCCUGUUAGGCUCUAUCAGUACUAAAGACUUACUUCCCAGUGAGUGUUAGAUCCACAUGUGAAUUGUGUUUCCAGUCUGGCAUAAACCACGCAGGCACUUUAGCAAGAAUGAAUCCCAUGAGAAGGGUGUUAAAUCAAGCAUGAUGCUGUGGAUCCCAGUGGAUACCUAAAGCUCGAGCUAUUGUUUCCAGAGAGGUUGCUUUACCCAGGAAUGGUGCAGUGAGGAGAGAAAAUUGCGGGUAUGUAAUUUUAACUUCCUCACAGGGUGAGCAUAAGGAUUUUUCCUUUCCUUAUAAAAACAUUAAAAAUUAGGGGAAAAAAAAAGGACGUUU